GGGCGUGAAUAUUAAGUAAACAUAAAAUUAAGUGCAUGUAAGUCUACAUAAACUUCUAUUUUAUUUCUCAUUUAUUUCUCGAGUUGUUCUUCUUUGAUCGUGAUGCGUCAUUACUCAAUAACCUCGUGUUUAACAUUUCCUUUUGAUAUGCAUACUCAAUUAUUGUCGACAUAGAGAAACUAGGGAAAACGUACUUAAGAUUGAAG
rnacentral:lncRNA from 1 species